GCCACACCUCGCCUUGCCGGGGGGGGUGAGGUGCUGGGGGGGUAGGGACAACGGGGGAACCACAGGUGUAGUCUUGGGUGUACUGCUAGUCUUUAUAGUGCCCUGCCCUUCCUCCUCUCCCUUGCCGGAUAGCCUGAGUGCUUUGUUUUAUUUAUUUAUUUACCAGUGUAUAGAUUUUUAGUUUGCUGGUCAGUGUGAGUGCAGGGAGUUUUGUGUAGUGUUGCUUUCACCGUGUGUUGUGAGUUCCUCGGCUGAUUUUUCACAGUGAAUGAUCAGAAACUACCUUUGGCUGGUGACUUGGCCAGUAAAAGAUACCAGAAAUAGUCCUCACAGAAUAGUUUGAAGGGAUAAACAGACAGUAGGAAAAGUGAGCAGAUGAUUAGUGUGAUUGAAUAGUUUGAAAGAUAAACAUACAAUAGGAACAGUGAGCAGAUGAUUAGUGUGAUUGAAUAGUUUGAAGGAUAAACAUACAAUAGGAAAAGUGAACAGAUGAUUAGUGUGAUUGAAUAGUUUGAAGGGAUAUGCCUGCAAUAAGAACAGUACAUAGACAAGUAUUAAGAUAGGGCAUCAAAUUCUGCCUUAAAUCACAAAGAGUCCUCUGAGUAAAUAUAGACAGAUAUGAAACUCCACAAUAUAAGUGAAAAGGAGAAAGUAGUGAGGUUAAGGAAUACAGUCCAUUCUGAAAGACUUGCUUGAGAAUGAAAAGGUAUAAAGAAGAGAUAUGAUACAGAAAAUGAAUUAGCCUUUUGCUGUAAGUUUACGUAAAGACGAUAACACAAUGAGAGGAGUGAAACGAGGAAAAUAAUAUCACAGACAAGCUCUCAUAUGUAAGUCUAAUUCUAGUGCACUAUCAAGGGAAAUAGUGGAGAGAUAAGAUAGGGAAAGUGAGCUGAAGGCAUUAUUGAUUACUGAUACUCUGAGAAAAACCCACGACAGGAAUACUUCACACACUGCCGAGGACCAUUAGGGAGCCAGUGUGUACAGGGUCAGGUUGGUUGGAGGAGGAGGAGGAGUAGGAGGAGGAGGAGAAGGAACACUCAAUAAUAUAGGUUGUUAGUUUUCAUGACAACAAUAGGAGAGGAGAACCAGCAGAAGUCACCUCUGUGGAGUACAAUAACUUUUUUUAUAUAAAUUACAAGAGGGGAGAGAAAUGAGACCCACUUUAUGGCUACCAAGUGGUGUUUUUAGGCUCUGUGACUUGAGGAAGGGACAGCAUCUUGCAAUGGGUUCACAAUGGCAUGCAUUUUAUUCACUUUGCAUCAAAACAAAGGGAGAUGCGUCGAGAUGAUGGGUGUGUGGAUAGGUAGGGAAGACUUAAGGAGGAGGAAGAAGAGGGAAGGGAAAGCAUGGUUAGGUAGGGAAGACUUGAGGAGGCUGGAGGAGGGAAGGGAAAGCAUGGUUAGAUCGGAAACACUUGACGAGGGAAAGGACAGCAUCUUGAACAGGCUCUGAUGGCAUGCAGUUCAUUCACUAUUCACCAUAAACAAAGGGAGGGAAGAGUCAAGGGAUGGUGGGUGUGUGGUUAGGUAGAGGAGGCUGGAGGAGGGAAGGGAAAGCAUGGUUAGAUCGGAAACACUUGACGAGGGAAAGGACAGCAUCUUGAACAGGCUCUGAUGGCAUGCAGUUCAUUCACUAUUCACCAUAAACAAAGGGAGGGGAGAGUCAAGGGAUGGUGGGUGUGUGGUUAGGUAGAGGAGGCUGGAGGAGGGAAGGGAAAGCAUGGUUAGAUUGGAAACACUUGACUAGGGAAAGAACAGCAUCUUGAACAGGCUCUGAUGGCAUGCAGUUCAUUCGCUAUUCACCAUAAACAAAGGGAGGGGAGAGUCAAGGGAUGGUGGGUGUGUGGUUAGGUAGAGGAGGCUGGAGGAGGGAAGGGGCAGCACUGUGCACUGACCGGGUCCUGCUGGCAUGAAGUCUUCGAGGGGUCAUCUUGGGUCACCUCUGUUUUGUUUGUAGUCACGUUACUUGACCUUCACCCUUGUAUAUUAUUGUUUUAAGACUUAAGACGACUCAUCAGUUAAUCCUUGCUCCUAUUUUUAUUGUUCUUUUAUAUUGAUUAAGAGUGAUUCUGUACAUAUUUAGUAAUGCCCUCCCAUGAGCUUAUAGAUAGCCCCCUCCCAAGCCCUUAUAGCCAGCACCAGAGUGAAAGAAUAGGAGAGUCUACCCACCUUCAUCACUGGCGGCUUGUUGUUCCCGAAAUAGCUGUGCAAAAUUCAAAGUGAUGGUGAUGCAAUAGUGUUUUUGUGUACUGUAGGUAUCAUCAGGGUCUUGAAGAAGUACCUAGAGAUUUGAAGUUCAUGCAGCUCUUUUGGUAACAACACUCUGUCUGUGAGGAAAAUGGCCACACCCUCCUAUUCUGUGACCCUGGCUACCACUCCUCUAAGACCCUGUAUCUAGCCCCCUCCCAAGGCCUUAUAGCUAACUCCCUCUCAAGAACCUGUAGCUAGUCCCCUCUCAAGGCCUUAUAGC